rnacentral:rRNA from 1 species
AAUAGAUACCCUGGUAGUCCACGCCGUAAACGAUGAGUGCUAAGUGUUGGGGGGGUUUCCGCCCCUCAGUGCUGCAGCUAACGCAUUAAGCACUCCGCCUGGGGAGUACGGCCGCAAGGCUGAAACUCAAAGGAAUUGACGGGGGCCCGCACAAGCGGUGGAGCAUGUGGUUUAAUUCGAAGCAACGCGAAGAACCUUACCAGGUCUUGACAUCCCGCUGCCCGGUAUAGAGAUAUAUCUUUCCCUUCGGGGACAGCGGUGACAGGUGGUGCAUGGUUGUCGUCAGCUCGUGUCGUGAGAUGUUGGGUUAAGUCCCGCAACGAGCGCAACCCUUGAUCUUAGUUGCCAGCAUUUAGUUGGGCACUCUAAGGUGACUGCCGGUGACAAACCGGAGGAAGGUGGGGAUGACGUCAAAUCAUCAUGCCCCUUAUGACCUGGGCUACACACGUGCUACAAUGGAUGGUACAAAGGGCUGCAAGACCGCGAGGUUUAGCCAAUCCCAUAAAACCGAUUCUCAGUUCGGAUUGCAGG